rnacentral:rRNA from 1 species
UGGGGAAUAUUGGGCAAUGGGCGAAAGCCUGACCCAGCGACGCCGCGUGAGGGAAGAAGGUCUUCGGAUUGUAAACCUCUUUCAGCAGGGAAGAAGAAAGUGACGGUACCUGCAGAAGAAGUCACGGCUAACUACGUGCCAGCAGCCGCGGUAAUACGUAGGUGGCGAGCGUUAUCCGGAAUUACUGGGUGUAAAGGGUGUGUAGGCGGGAGUGCAAGUCAGACGUGAAAACUAUGGGCUCAACCCAUAACGUGCGUUUGAAACUGUGCUUCUUGAGAGUGGGAGAGGUAAACGGAAUUCCUG